UCUAUAGAUGACAUUCAAAAA
rnacentral:piRNA from 1 species